rnacentral:rRNA from 1 species
GCCAGACUCCUACGGGAGGCAGCAGUGGGGGAUAUUGCACAAUGGGGGGAACCCUGAUGCAGCGACGCCGCGUGGGUGAAGGAGUAUUUCGGUAUGUAAAGCCCUAUCGGCAGGGAAGAAGCAAGACGGUACCUGACUAAGAAGCCCCGGCUAACUACGUGCCAGCAGCCGCGGUAAUACGUAGGGGGCGAGCGUUAUCCGGAUUCACUGGGUGUAAAGGGAGCGUAGACGGCCAAGCAAGCCAGGGGUGAAAGCCCGGGGCCCAACCCCGGGACUGCCCUUGGAACUGCUUGGCUGGAGUGCGGGAGGGGCAGGCGGAAUUCCUGGUGUAGCGGUGAAAUGCGUAGAUAUCAGGAGGAACACCGGUGGCGAAGGCGGCCUGCUGGACUGCAACUGACGUUGAGGCCCGAAAGCGUGGGGAGCAAACAGGAUUAGAUACCCCCGUAAGU